rnacentral:misc_RNA from 1 species
AACGCACAUUGCGCCCUUUGGUAUUCCAUAGGGCAUGCCUGUUCGAGCGUCACUAACAACCCCAUCACAAAGAGUGUGGUAUUGGCAGAAGUGGGUAGGACUGGCAUUGCUGGUCCCACUCUGCUGGAAUGAAUAGGCCGGAACUGUAGACCAUAGUAACAGACAUUCAGAGUAUUUUAAGAUGCUAAAUCAGUUUGUAUGCUGGUCAGAAUCCAUGCCAUUGGACCCCCAUACUGUGGAAAGCAGUAAUGUUGACCUCGGAUCAGGUAGGGAUACCCGCUGAACUUAA